GGCGCGUUGCAUGUUGGUGCGAAAGCACGUUGCUUGUUAGCGUGAAAGCGCGAAGGUGCGUUGCUUGUUGGCGUGACGGCGUGUUGUGACUAACGCGCAGCCCUAUCCAGACACCAUACAAUUUGCCAUCCUCGUAUUUAUUUUAGUCUUAUUUAAAAAUUCCAUCUAGCUGCAUUCUAUGAAGGAUAGAUCAGUUGUGUUUUUCUCAGAUAACUACAGUUUUGAAACUUUCUAACCCAUUAGGCAUUUGAACGACUGACUACAUGAAAAACAAAUACACAAUAACGGACAAUAAAGAUUGUUCUUGUCCUGUGGGUAACAUGCUUGAGGGAGGUGACCAUCCUACAUUGAUCAAGUGCCUUUUUUGGGGAAUUGGAAACUGUGACUGUGAGAUGUAUGAGAGUUUGACUUCUAGGCGGGCAAUUCUACUUUCACUUUAAACGGAAAGUUGAAAAGAGCAUGCUGCAUCUUUGAUGUAAAAUAUAUCGAAAAGGAAUCAAGGACCCUAUUGCAAAUUUGGCCUUUUUUGGAAAGGGUGGCGGUGCCUGAGUGUAUCUCAACCCAUUUCCAGGCUAGCUUCAGAUGUCAUGAUGGACCUUUUAAAAUCUUUCACAUGUGUACUUUCAAGAACCAUAUACAUCAUUUUUGAAAAUUGGUUGCCAAGGUAAUAAAAUAUAAAAAUCAAAA